UACGAAGGGGGCUAGCGUUGCUCGGAAUCACUGGGCGUAAAGCGCACGUAGGCGGACUCUUAAGUCGGUGGUGAAAUCCUGGAGCUCAACUCCAGAACUGCCUUCGAUACUGGGAGUCUUGAGUUCGGGAGAGGUGAGUGGAACUGCGAGUGUAGAGGUGAAAUUCGUAGAUAUUCGCAAGAACACCGGUGGCGAAGGCGG
rnacentral:rRNA from 1 species